rnacentral:rRNA from 1 species
UAACACAUGCAAGUCGAGCGAUUCUCUUCGGAGAAGAGCGGCGGACGGGUGAGUAACGCGUGGGUAACCUGCCCUGUACACACGGAUAACAUACCGAAAGGUAUGCUAAUACGGGAUAAUAUAAGAAAUUCGCAUGUUUUUCUUAUCAAAGCUCCGGCGGUACAGGAUGGACCCGCGUCUGAUUAGCUAGUUGGUGAGGUAACGGCUCACCAAGGCGACGAUCAGUAGCCGACCUGAGAGGGUGAUCGGCCACAUUGGAACUGAGACACGGUCCAAACUCCUACGGGAGGCAGCAGUGGGGAAUAUUGCACAAUGGGCGAAAGCCUGAUGCAGCAACGCCGCGCGAGCGAUGAAGGCCUUCGGGUCGUAAAGCUCUGUCCUCAAGGAAGAUAAUGACGGUACUUGAGGAGGAAGCCCCGGCUAACUACGUGCCAGCAGCCGCGGUAAUACGUAGGGGGCUAGCGUCAUCCGGAUUUACUGGGCGUAAAGGGUGCGUAGGCGGUCUUUUAAGUCAGGAGUGAAAGGCUACGGCUCAACCGUAGUAAGCUCUUGAAACUGGAGGACUUGAGUGCAGGAGAGGAGAGUGGAAUUCCUAGUGUGGCGGUGAAAUGCGUAGAUAUUAGGAGGAACACCAGUAGCGAAGGCGGCUCUCUGGACUGUAACUGACGCUGAGGCACGAAGCGUGGGGAGCGAACA